rnacentral:tRNA from 1 species
GGGGUUGUGGCUCAGUGGUACAGUGCUUGCCUAGCACGCAUGAGGCACUGGGUUAGAUUCCCCAGCACCA